GUGCUUGCUUUGGCAGCACAUAUACUGCAAUCAGAACAAUACAGAGAAGAUUAGUAUGGCCCCUGUGCAGGGAUGACACACAAUUUUGUGGCAUGUUCCAUGUUUUU
ensembl:snRNA U6 U6 spliceosomal RNA